rnacentral:rRNA from 1 species
UGGGGAAUAUUUGACAAUGGGCGAAAGCCUGAUCCAGCCAUGCCGCGUGAGUGAUGAAGGCCCUAGGGUUGUAAAGCUCUUUCACCGGUGAAGAUAAUGACGGUAACCGGAGAAGAAGCCCCGGCUAACUUCGUGCCAGCAGCCGCGGUAAUACGAAGGGGGCUAGCGUUGUUCGGAAUUACUGGGCGUAAAGCGCACGUAGGCGGACAUUUAAGUCAGGGGUGAAAUCCCGGGGCUCAACCCCGGAACUGCCUUUGAUACUGGGUGUCUCGAGUCCGGAAGAGGUGGGUGGAAUUCCGAGUGUAGAGGUGAAAUUCGUAGAUAUUCGGAGGAACACCAGUGGCGAAGGCGGCUCACUGGUCCGGUACUGACGCUGAGGUGCGAAAGCGUGGGGAGCAAACAGG